GGAUGGUUAAACAAGUAUAUUUCACACCAGCAAUUACAUUCGUGAAAUAUUUUUAAAUAUUGGUGGUUCUGACAUGGUAAAAGUCGUUAUAAUGUAUUUUUUCUAAUUUUAGCUCUGAACAAUCAAUUAAUGGCAGCCUAAAAUGCGGCUGUAACCCAGUUUAGAACUUUCCAAGAAUCCUCCCAUUGGAGCCAGAUGAAGCAGCCUAAUGUAGCAAAUGAGAACUUCUGAGUCCAGAGCGGGGCAAGCUCCAAUCUGCCAAUAGCCUUGCCAAGAGAGCUGGAGGAAGUGGGGGAGUCACGUAACCGCCUACCUCCUCUUUCCCAAAACAGGAGCCACAUACCAACCUCUCAGCAGGGUGGGUUGGGGCCACAAGACUUAGGGCCUACCUCUCCUCGGUGGCCAAUGACAUUUAAAGAAAACAGUUGACUGCAUCUGUGAAGAUGUCAUAACGUGGAGCUUCCCUGGGAGAAAAUAAUUUGGGAAGGGAGGGAGACAUUACUGAUAUCUUUAAAACACAGAGUGUUCAAAAUGAGAGAACCACGUGCUUCUCUCCAUACCACUGGGGUGGUUUUGGUGCCCGUCUUUGGUGUGCAUUGCGGGUCUUUGUGGGGCCUGUGGUAACAACUCAUGAUUCAUCAACUACAAGUUACCAUCACAAUUUCCAAGUCAUUGGGAAGUAUUUCAUCCCCCAGAGCGGCAAUUUUCUCCAUCAGCAAGAGAAUCAAAAGGAAGUGGGAACAUCUGGCUCGAUAUGAAAGCCUGAGAGUGCCCCGACAUACACAGUUUCCAGCAUCGCUUCCAAAAAUCAA
rnacentral:lncRNA from 1 species